UACGAGAGGCGCAAACGUUAUUCGGAAUUACUGGGCUUAAAGAGUUCGUAGGCGGCGCAGAAAGUAGGGUGUGAAAGCCCUCGGCUCAACCGAGGAAUUGCGCCCUAAACUACUGUGCUUGAGGAAGCUAGAGGUGAGCAGAACAGAUGGUGGAGCGGUGAAAUGCGUUGAUAUCGGGAGGAACACCGGUGGCGAAGGCGGCCAUCUGGACGGUAACUGACGCUGAGACGCGAAAGCGUGGGUAGCAAACAGG
rnacentral:rRNA from 1 species